UGAAUACAUAAAUGUUUCAAUACAUAAGUAUUAACUUAGAGUACAAAAGACAUGGAUAGAAACUAUCCAAGAGUCAAUCAGUCAACAUUACAUUACAUGGCCCACAAGAUAGAUCCUAGACAAAAACUAAAGAAAGGACAUACUACACUGGAUCUAAUAGAUAUCAUGGCUGGAUGGAUCGAAGUCUGAUGAAUCAGAGAUUGGGUGAGGAGAUGAAGGAUCAUGUCCAUGAGCUCGACCUCGAUCG
rnacentral:lncRNA from 1 species